rnacentral:rRNA from 1 species
GAUCAUGCUCAGGAUGAACGCUAGCUACAGGCUUAACACAUGCAAGUCGAGGGGCAGCAUGGUCUUAGCUUGCUAAGGCCGAUGGCGACCGGCGCACGGGUGAGUAACACGUAUCCAACCUGCCGUCUACUCUUGGGCAGCCUUCUGAAAGGAAGAUUAAUACAAGAUGGCAUCAUGAGUCCGCAUGUUCACAUGAUUAAAGGUAUUCCGGUAGACGAUGGGGA